rnacentral:rRNA from 1 species
AUUGAACGCUGGCGGCGUGCUUAACACAUGCAAGUCGAGCGGUAACGCGGGGGCAACCCUGGCGACGAGCGGCGAACGGGUGAGUAAUGCUUCGGAAUCUUCCUCGUAGUGGGGAAUAACCUGGGGAAACUCAGGCUAAUACCGCAUACGAACUACGGUUGAAAGCAGGGGAUCGCAAGACCUUGCGCUAUGAGAUGAGCCGAAGUCGGAUUAGCUAGUUGGUGAGGUAAAGGCUCACCAAGGCGACGAUCCGUAGCUGGUCUGAGAGGACGACCAGCCACACUGGGACUGAGACACGGCCCAGACUCCUACGGGAGGCAGCAGUGGGGAAUAUUGGACAAUGGGGGCAACCCUGAUCCAGCGACGCCGCGUGUGUGAAGAAGGCCUGCGGGUUGUAAAGCACUUUUAGUGGGGAUGAAAAGCCGAAGGCUAAUACCUUUCGGUCUUGACCUAACCCAAAGAAAAAGCACCGGCUAACUCUGUG